UACGUAGGUGGCGAGCGUUGUCCGGAUUUACUGGGCGUAAAGGGAGCGUAGGCGGACUUUUAAGUGAGAUGUGAAAUACUCGGGCUCAACUUGAGUGCUGCAUUUCAAACUGGAAGUCUAGAGUGCAGGAGAGGAGAAUGGAAUUCCUAGUGUAGCGGUGAAAUGCGUAGAUAUUAGGAGGAACACCAGUGGCGAAGGCGGCCUACUGGACGGUGACUGACGCUGAGGCUCGAAAGCGUGGGGAGCAAACAGG
rnacentral:rRNA from 1 species